rnacentral:rRNA from 1 species
CAGUCGAGCGGACAGAUGGGAGCUUGCUCCCUGAUGUUAGCGGCGGACGGGUGAGUAACACGUGGGUAACCUGCCUGUAAGACUGGGAUAACUCCGGGAAACCGGGGCUAAUACCGGAUGCUUGUUUGAACCGCAUGGUUCAAACAUAAAAGGUGGCUUCGGCUACCACUUACAGAUGGACCCGCGGCGCAUUAGCUAGUUGGUGAGGUAAUGGCUCACCAAGGCAACGAUGCGUAGCCGACCUGAGAGGGUGAUCGGCCACACUGGGACUGAGACACGGCCCAGACUCCUACGGGAGGCAGCAGUAGGGAAUCUUCCGCAAUGGACGAAAUCUGACGGAGCAACGCCGCGUGAGUGAUGAAGGUUUUCGGAUCGUAAAGCUCUGUUGUUAGGGAAGAACAAGUACCGUUCGAAUAGGGCGGUACCUUGACGGUACCUAACCAGAAAGCCACGGCUAACUACGUGCCAGCAGCCGCGGUAAUACGUAGGUGGCAAGCGUUGUCCGGAAUUAUUGGGCGUAAAGGGCUCGCAGGCGGUUUCUUAAGUCUGAUGUGAAAGCCCCCGGCUCAACCGGGGAGGGUCAUUGGAAACUGGGGAACUUGAGUGCAGAAGAGGAGAGUGGAAUUCCACGUGUAGCGGUGAAAUGCGUAGAGAUGUGGAGGAACACCAGUGGCGAAAGCGACUCUCUGGUCUGUAACUGACGCUGAGGAGCGAAAGCGUGGGGAGCGAACAGGAUUAGAUACCCUGGUAGUCCACGCCGUAAACGAUGAGUGCUAAGUGUUAAGGGGUUUCCGCCCCUUAGUGCUGCAGCUAACGCAUUAAGCACUCCGCCUGGGGAGUACGGUCGCAAGACUGAAACUCAAGGAAUUGACGGGGCCCGCACAAGCGUGGAGCAUGUGGUUUAAUUCGAAGCACGCGAGAACCUUACCAGUCUUGACAUCCUC